UGGGGGAUCGGAGCUCACUCCCAACCCAAUGUGAACGUUACCAAACUGUUGCCUCGGCGGGGUCACGCCCCGGGUGCGUCGCAGCCCCGGAACCAGGCGCCCGCCGGAGGAACCAACCAAACUCUUUCUGUAGUCCCCUCGCGGACGUAUUUCUUACAGCUCUGAGCAAAAAUUCAAAAUGAAUCAAAACUUUCAACAACGGAUCUCUUGGUUCUGGCAUCGAUGAAGAACGCAGCGAAAUGCGAUAAGUAAUGUGAAUUGCAGAAUUCAGUGAAUCAUCGAAUCUUUGAACGCACAUUGCGCCCGCCAGUAUUCUGGCGGGCAUGCCUGUCCGAGCGUCAUUUCAACCCUCGAACCCCUCCGGGGGAUCGGCGUUGGGGAUCGGGACCCCUCACACGGGUGCCGGCCCCGAAAUACAGUGGCGGUCUCGCCGCAGCCUCUCCUGCGCAGUAGUUUGCACAACUCGCACCGGGAGCGCGGCGCGUCCACGUCCGUAAAACACCCAACUUUCUGAAAUGUUGACCUCGGAUCAGGUAGGAAUACCCGCUGAACUUAAGCAUAUCAA
rnacentral:rRNA from 1 species